rnacentral:lncRNA from 7 species
AAGGUUAUCUGACAUUACCUCUUGUUAUUUGGGUAAUCGCGCCUAGUGUUCGUCGAUAGAUGAUGGUUAGAUUUUUCUGUUAUUUGGGUUCAUCGACAUCUGUUCUACCAAGUUCAUCACCUCUUGUUUCAUAUCUGUACCUUAUUAAUUUACUACAGCGUGCAUUUUGUUGAAAGAUACAUCAUCAUUUUCAAAUGAAUCUUAGCUGAUACCAUGUCAUUAUAUGAUUUUUUUUAAUUUUCAAAUAAACGUCGAGUCAAAUGUUAGCUUUCAUCUAGUUGAUAUUGCCUUUGAUAUCACCAUUUAGCUGAUCAUCUUUGUUGCUCUGUGGUCCAUGAUGACCAUUAUACCCA